rnacentral:misc_RNA from 1 species
UAGACGAGCAACAGAAGAACAAAUCCAAGCGCAGCGCCGACAGACAGAGAGAGAAAAGGCAGAGAUAGAACGUGAAACUAUUAGAGUGAGAGCAAUGGCAGAAGCUGAGGGGAGAGCACAUGAAGCAAAGCUGGCUGAGGAUGUUAACAGAAGAAUACUAGUAGACCGUGCAAAUGCUGAAAGGGAGAAAUGGAUUGCCGCGAUUAACACGACUUUUGAGCACAUUGGAGGUGGUCUCCGUGCAAUACUAACAGAUCAAAAUAAGCUUGUUGUGGCUGUUGGUGGUGUGACAGCUCUUGCAGCUGGAAUAUACACAACAAGGGAAGGUGCAAGAGUUGUUUGGAGUUAUGUGGACAGAAUAUUAGGACAGCCAUCAUUGAUCAGAGAGUCAUCUAGGGGUAAAUAUCCCUGGUCAGGGUUCUUCUCACGAGCCAUGAGCACUCUCAAAGGUGCUAAUGGAGGUUCCGCAAAAUCUGAGAAAGGGUUUGGUGAUGUCAUUCUACACCCAUCUCUUGAAAAGAGGAUUCAGCAGUUAGCCAAUGCAACUGCUAAUACCAAAUCUCAUCAAGCUCCAUUUCGCAACAUGCUCUUUUAUGGCCCUCCAGGAACAGGGAAGACAAUGGUUGCUAGAGAGCUUGCUCGCAGAUCUGGA